CAGUCCACUGGUCCUGAUGAUGAUGAUGGCGGCGAUGGAGGAGCAGCGCUGAGUUCACUCUCCGGGUUUUGGCUCCCCUCUUCCAUUCAUUCUUUUAUGGUUAUAUCACAAAAGACAACAUAGUGACAUAGAACGCGACGCCGCCGGUUUGACCUACUGCCUCUCUCCGCCUCCCUCCCGUCUCCGGAGACGAGCCCGAGAUGGGGAACGAAGCGAGCAUGGAGGGCGGCGGGCAGCCCGGCGACCCGGGAGCAGCCGGGAUGAUGGGGCCGGUUAUGCCUGGAGGACCCGCGACAGCACCGGGGGCAGGACAGCACAUGAAGCCGGUCAACGGAAUCGCUGCCGGGGGAGGGAUGGGCAUCGGAGGCCCCGGGAUGGGAAUGAGGGGUCCGAUGGGUCCGAUGGGUAGCCCCAAGCCUGGGAUGCAACAAGGAGGCCACGGAGGAGGAGGAAUGGGAGGUGGAGGUGGAAUGGGAGGUGGAGGUGGAAUGGGAGGAGCAGGAGGUAGAGGAAUGGGAGGAAUAGGAGGUAUGGGAAGUAUGGGAGUAGGAAUGGGCGCAGGUGGAGGAGGAGGGUCCAGACCCGGGGAGCCCUACCGCCUGGCCACUCACGAGACUCCGACUUCCCCCCGACACAUGCAGUCAACCCAGGGGCCCGGCAUGGGGCCCGGAAUGGGGCCCGGCCCCGGGACGGGUCACGGCCCAGCCGGGUCCAGCGCGGUAGGCCACGGAGGUCAUCCGAGUCCCGGGCAGCACGCCUCCCGCCGAAACCUCCAAGUCGACUUCAGCGGCUCGGGCGGCUCCAGGAGAGGCCGCUCUCCGUCCGGGUCUCCCGAUCGCGGCGUGACGCCCACCUCGCCCUACUCGGUGCCGCAGAUCGCGCCCAUGCCGAGCAGCAAACUGUGCCCGGUGUGCAGCAGCACGCAGCUGUCCAACCCGCCGGCUCCACCCAACUACAACACCUGCACCCAGUGCAAGUCCACCGUCUGCAACCAGUGUGGAUUCAACCCCAACCCGCACCUCACUGAGGUCCAGGAGUGGCUGUGUCUGAACUGUCAGAUGCAAAGAGCUCUUGGCAUUGAUAUGACCACGCCUCGAUCUAAGAGCCAACAGCAGAUUCACUCUCCGUCCCACCAAGCCAAACCCAUCGUUCAGCCUCAGCAGCCUACACCUCAGCCAACACAGCCAGCAGCAGCGGCACCGUCCAAACCUUUGGCACAGAGUCAGCCCAGCCAACGCCAACUGCAGCAGCAGCAGCAUCAUCCACAGCAACAGCAGCAACAACAGCAGCAUCAUCCACAGCAGCAUCCACAACAUCAGCAGCAUCAGUCUCAGCCUUACAGCCAGAGCCAACCCUACUCCCAGUCCCAGCCAUACUCCCAGCCCCAGCAGUAUCCCCAGUCUCAGCCCCAGUCGUACCCUGGGUCCAAGUCAGGGCCCCAGGCUCCGCCUCAUACCUCUCCAGGCUUGCAGAGACACUCAGGCCCUGGCGGCUCCCAGACUCAGACAGGGUCCCUUCAGCAGGGCAUGCGGUCAGACCCGUACUCUCAGAGAGAUACCGGGGCUCCGGGAGCUGUCGGUGUCCCUACAGGAGGUCCCAACCAGCCUGGGGGUCCACGGAUUCCCCACCCCGGCGCCGUGCCCCUCCCCGGCUUGGCCAGGGCUCCGUCCCAGCCCGAUUUGGGUCGCGGAUCUCCAAUGCACCAGUCUAUGGCGCGGCACCAUGACCAGACCAGAAGCGCCGGGUCUUCGCCGGCCCACAGACCCCAGAGCCAGGCCCCUCCUCCUGCCCAAGAUGGUCUGACCAAGUUGUUUGGCUUUGGGGCUUCGUUGCUCAAUCAGGCGAGUACCCUGAUCAAUGUUGACCCUUUACCCACUGCCUCCACCCAGCCAAGCCCCGCACGAGGCAAUGUGGUCUUCAGUAAUGCAGCUUCUGACAACAGGCAGCAACAACAAGCGGCCCCUGGCACCAAACCAUUCAGCAUGGGGGGCCCUCAUGGUCCAACUCAAAUGGGUGGCCCUCAAGCGUCGAGCAGAAUGGGUGGCCCCCAAGCACCGAGCCAAAUGGGUGGCCCUCAUAAUGCGAGCAAAAUGGCUGGUCCUCAUGUGCAGAGCCAAAUGGGAGGCCCUUAUCCACCUGGCCAAAUGGGGGGUCCUCAUGCACCGAGCCAAACGGGAGGCCCUUAUCCACCUGGCCAAAUGGGGGGUCCUCAUGCACCGAGCCAAACGGGAGGCCCUUAUCCACCAAGCCAGACGGGAGGCCCUUAUCCACCAAGCCAAACGGGAGGCCCUUAUCCACCUGGCCAAAUGGGGGGUCCUCAUGCACCGAGCCAAACGGGAGGCCCUUAUCCACCAAGCCAGACGGGAGGCCCUUAUCCACCAAGCCAGACGGGAGGCCCUUAUCCACCAAGCCAGACAGGAGGCCCUUAUCCACCAAGCCAAACGGGGGGUCCUCAAACACAGAGUCAGAUAGGAGGCCCUUAUCCAUCCGGCCAAAUGGGGGGUACUCGUACUCUGAAUGAAAUGGGAGGGUCCCAAUUCAGUGGACCCCAUGCAUCAAGCCAGAAGCAGCAGACCACGCCCCAUCAACAAGGAAUGCCGCAAAAACAGUCACCCUUGCAUCAUCAGAAAGGACCGCAAGGACAGCAAUAUCAGCAAACACCUACUCAUCUGCAAAAGGCACUUCAGAAGCAGGAGCCCGUGGUGGCCCCCGUGCCUGCUCCAGAGCCUGUGAAGCCUAAAGUGAACUGUCCUCUUUGUAAAACGGAGCUGAAUAUCGGCAACUCCGACCCGCCCAACUACAACACCUGUACGCAGUGCAACGGCCAAGUGUGUAACCUGUGUGGCUUCAACCCCACGCCACAUCUGGUGGAGAAAAAGGAGUGGUUAUGUCUCAACUGCCAGACGCAGCGGCUCAUGUCCGGAGGCGGCCUCGAUGAUCCCCCACUUCCCGUUCCUCACCCGUCGCCCAAGCACCAGCCAAUGGGCUCGCCCCGUCAGCAGGCGCCAGCCAGUCAGCCAAGCCCUCUCCAUAAACCCACCAAUCAGCAGGGGCCCAGGCCCACGCAACCCCCCGCGCAGAAAGCGCUGGCGGGAACCGGUGGUAGUGGAUCGUUUGCGCCCAGCGCCGCCAAACAACCGACCGACCCCAAGACCGCAACACCAGCUACGGCACCGUUGUCGACCGCAGACACCCAGAAACAGCCAAAGGCCUCACAGGAGAAACCCAAAACCGAGCCUGAGAACAAAAUCGGCAAAGACACCAAAGCCUCCCAGAGGAAAGGAGAGCAGAUCACACCUAUCAAGGAAAUCAAGAAGUCCAGGCACUAUGAUGAUACAAAAAACAACAGCACCCAUGACUUGUCACGCAGCCCUCAAAGCCUCAGUGACACCGGCUACUCCUCGGAUGGUAUCUCCAGUUCCCACAGUGAAAUCACGGGUCUAAUCCAGGAAGAGGAAAUGAAACUGAGUGAGAGGGGGAUCAGUGGGCGGGGUUCCCCACCAAGUCCUUCUGAAAUCACCAAGCUCGAGAGCUCUAUGAGGCCUCUGUUGGAGAAGAGCCUUUCUGAAGAGAAGGUGGACAGACGGGGAAGGAAGCACAGAGACAGAGACUUGGAUGACAGAGGGAAGCAGCGCCCACGCUCCUUGUCAAUCCCGCCCGAUUCCUACGACUCUGAUGAGGAACUAGAAGAUAUACUAGAAGAAGAAGAAGAUGGAGGAGACUGGGAGGUUAAGCGGAAGGAAGGAAAGGAGGAGAAGAAAGAGAAGAAAAAGAAGGAAAAAGAAACUGAGCCCACAGAGAUGACAGAUGAGGAGUUCAUGAGGAGACAAAUAAUGGAGAUGAGUGCUGAUGAAGAUAAUGAGGAGGAAGAGGAUGAGAUGGAGGAGGAGGAAGAUGAGGAAGAUGAAGGAUAUGGCUACCAGAAACCCAAGAAAAACCACCACAAACACAUGAUCUCUGACUCAGGGAAAGAGAAAAGACGUCUUCAGCACCACUCCAGCAGUUUUGAGGAGGAACCUAAGAGCUCUACUGAUGUUUAUAAAGGCUCACUGGAGGAGGGUGAGGAAGAUGUGAUGGCAUCACAAGGAGGCUUGAGGCGCUUCAAAACAAUUGAACUCAAUAACACCAAUAGCUACAGCCGAGAUAUGGAGCUGGGCAACGAAAAUGACUUGAGCCUUGAUCGGGAACCAGAGCUAGAGAUGGAGAGCCUAACAGGAUCUCCAGAGGAGCGUUCUCGCGGUGACUACUCCUCUACUCUGCCAGCCACGUCAUCGUCAUAUGGCUCAGGCCAGUCACCUACUUCCAUCUCAUCAAUGGAAGAGGACAGUGACAGUAGCCCCAGCAGGAGGCAAAAGCUAGAAGAGGCCAAGCAACAGAGGAAAGCACGCCACCGCUCCCAUGGCCCCCUCCUUCCCACCAUUGAAGACUCUUCAGAAGAAGAUGAACUGAGAGAAGAAGAAGAACUUUUAAGAGAACAGGAGAAGAUGAGGGAGGUGGAACAGCAGAGAAUAAGGAGCACAGCCAGAAAGACCAAGAGGGACAAAGAGGAGUUGAGGGCUCAGAGGCGCAGAGAGAGGUCUAAGACACCGCCUAGCAAUCUCUCACCCAUAGAAGAUGCUUCUCCGACAGAAGAGCUGAGACAAGCUGCAGAAAUGGAAGAGUUGCAUCGUUCUUCUGCUUCUGAAUAUUCCCCUCAGAGUCUGGAUUCAGAGGCUGAGGGAUACGAGUCCAAACUUUACAAGUCAGGCAGUGAAUACAACUUGCCUACCUUUAUGUCUCUCUACUCACCAAUAGAGAAAUCAUCAACUACAACCACCACCACAGCACCAUCGUCAGCUUCCAAAUCCCUGAAGAGCGCUGAGGAGGUUUAUGAGGAGAUGAUGAAGAAGGCAGAGGUGCUUCAGAAACAACAACAGCAGCAACAGCAGCAACAUGGAAGACAUGGGCAGUACUAUGAGGAGGACGUUAAUGGACAAGGUUAUGAAGAAGAGUAUGAAUAUGACCAACAUCAAGCAGGGUAUGAUAAUGAGGCAGCAGAGACAGAAAAAGAUAUUUACGAGGAGAUCAGACAAACAUCUCAGAACAUUACCAAGAUGCAGCAGGCCACUAAUGAGCAAGUAGAGAUUGAGAUUGAGAGCUCCUACUCAGACAAACAGCUCCUAGACACAGGCUCAGCUUUUGCUAAGCUGUUGGAGCAGAGCAAUGCUCUACUCACUCCAGGGACCAGCCCCACCCAGAUCUCAGCUCCUGUCUCCUUUGUUGAGACUGGAGGACGAAUUCCUGAUGUCAGAGUAACACAGCAUUUCUCUGCAAAGGAUGGUCACAAAGAUAGGAUUAAAACCCAAGCAGGAAAGAAUGGAAUAACUCCAACAGUAGCUGCCACCACCAUUGCAGCUUAUGGAGUCUAUGCCAGGGAUGCAGUGACUAUUUCUCAGACUAGUUCAAGCCCCACUAUGACGACUACUCAGUCAGGUAUAUAUGGCCGUCACACUUCAAGCCCUACCACAUCUUCAACUACAGUCUCAAGUGUCUGCAGCAAGAUUGCAGAGAUAACCCAGGCCUACAGUCAACGAGAAGUGAUUACCAGAAGGGUAGGGGAAGCUAGGGAUGUCCAAGUGCGAGACAGCUCAACAUCGUCCACCGAGAGAGUUAUUGAGCCACGCUCCCCAAAGUAUACUACAUACUACAGGAGCACCAGUCCUCCUCUUUCUCCAUCACCACCACCACCACAGAGUCCUACUCGUUCACCCUCCAGAAGGAAUACAGCUGAAUUCUCUACACAGACGUUCAGUUCAGCAUUGCGGAUGUCUGAGUCAGCUGUAUCCGGACCUACAUCUCCAGUGACAGCGCAGGGGACCCAAACAUCUCAUCGAUCAGUUUCCCCAAGGCUCCAUCGUCAGCAGUCCUCCCAGGAUGUACAGUACUCCCCACCGCCAGGUCAGGCUAGACCAAUGACAGUCAACACAGCUACUUCUCCCCUGUCAUCGCCUACCCGAUUUAGCCGCCAAUCAACAUUUGACAAUUACUCCCCAUGUAGCAGCCCUCCGGACACACCACCGUACCAACAUUCCCCUACACGUAGCUUCUACCGAACACAAAGGGUGGAGAAAGUAAAUGUGGGAACAAGUAUGGUCACCACAGCCGGCACUUACACUAGAGGGUCCAUGUCAAUGGACAACAUCUCCCUCUGCCGAAUAUCUACAGUCCCGGGUACUUCUAGGGUAGAGCAGGGCCGUAUGAUCCAAGGCGGAAGUGUUGUGGACCUCAGAACAGCAAGCAAACCAGCUCCUACUAUCAUGACUGACCAGGGAAUGGAUCUCACCUCCUUGGCCACUGAAAGCAGGAAAUACCAUGGUGGAUCAGACGGUAGUAGACAUUCCACGAUUGUGCAGCCACUGAUUAUGAACUUGAAUACCCAGGAGAUAAUCACACCAACAACUGUGAGUGUCACAGUGGCUGCGUCCAUGUUCAUGACCCAGCCAAAACAGCCAACAAUCUAUGGUGAUCCCCAUCAAUACCAAAUGGAUUUGGGUCAGGGCAUUGGUUCGGCUGUGUGUCUUUCCCAAAACAGACCACCAAUUUCACCUCCAACUGACCCAACAAUACCCAAAAUUGAUGCCAAACUGGAAGACCUCAGUAUCCAACAGAGAGAGCUACAAAUACAGCAAGAGAAGCUACAGAAACAACAACAGCUCCUUGAACACCAGUUGCAGCAGCACCAUCAGAUGCAACAUCACCAGCAACAGGCAUCUGCUUUGGCUAGGUACAGCCUUACAGGCCAGAUCUCACCUUUACUGAAAAAAGAUCUACUUGUCAGUCAGACAAGCACCGCCUCAGCUGUCGUCAGUGCUGUAUCACCGGUCAUUAACCCUGAUCUGUAUGGCACUGGUCCUGUUGAGCUGAAAGGGAAGCCUAGUCCUCCUGGUUCGAUAUCAGGAAGUAAUUUAUCACAUAGCAUGGUAGUACAGAUGGAUGGAGGGCCAGAGCAGGCCAGGGCAAUGACUCAGCUUUUGACAGUAGAAGUAGGACAGGAUGCUAUGGACCUGACAGGAGGCCAAAUUAAACCUGAAAACCAACCAGCUUGCUGUGAUGUUGUUUACCGACUUCCAUUUGGCGGAAGCUGUGUUGGUGGUGAGAAAGAGGGAAUACGACCUCCAUCUGCCCCACCACUUACCUAUGAGUCAGACCAAGAAAGACUACCCGAAGGGUAUCAUGAAUAUCCAAUGGAUGAGCGUAAGGCCUACACACUACCUUUCCCUGGAAGGCUCCAGCCUUCAAUGUCUGAUACAAACCUAGCUGAAGCUGGGGUACAGUCUUAUCAUCCUAAGCUAGAACCACAUCUCCAAGGCCCAGGAGAACUUGCCAUGGAUCUAACUGCUAUGAAACAGGGUUAUGGAGGAUUUAUGGGGAUGCAGUAUGGCUCCUAUACAGAUUUACGCCAUGGAGGAGACAUCACAGCCCAAACGCUGCCUAUAAGGAGAUAUAAUUCCUUGUCCAACAUCAGUUCAGACUAUGGAUACUCUGCUCGAGACAUUGCUAAUUUCCAAGAAGCUAACUUAGCUCAGUACAGUGCUACAACUGCCAGAGAGAUCAGCCGGAUGUGUGCAGCUCUCAAUUCCAUAGAUCGAUAUGCAAGCAACCCAGACUUGAUGCAGUUUGGUAAUUUGGGGAGAGGAACCGGACCUGGGGCCUCCCGACUAGCAGCAGGUCUUGGCAUGAGACAAAACCACUUUUUUGGACUUGAUGGGAAGCCAAUCUCCCACAGUCAAGCAUUAACCAACCUUAUCAAUGCAAGACAGGCCAGUCUCAGAGCCAUGUACCCUGCUGCUAUUAGGUCUGCUGAUGGGAUGAUCUACUCUACUAUUCAGACCCCCAUUGCCUCUACACUUCCCAUCACAACACAACCUGCCUCUGUUCUACGCCCACUAUUGAGGGGGGUCUACAGGCCAUACCCUUCUGCAAACAUGACACCUGUACCCUUAACUAGUCUGAGCAGACUACCAAUGAGCCCAAGAGUACCCUUAACUGUGCAAGCUCCACUCCGCUACCCAGCACCAGGUCUUCUCCAGAUAUCAUCAACCACAGCCACUUCAAGUGGUGCAGCAACAAAUGUUGGCCCAGCAGGUGCCCCAAUGUCGGUUUCCAUUACAACUACUAGUUCGACUGUGCAGGAUGAACCAGUUUACCUCGGUAAAAGUGUAUCCUCGUUAGUUGAGGUACAAGGAACAAUUGCCAUACCAAUGGAGCAACAGCAACAGCCAAUAAACCUUUCCCAGGCCCACCUGAACAGUCAACAACAACAACAGCAACAAGUUGCAUCUGCUCAGCAGUCACAUCAGCCUCCUCAAGCAGCCCAUGCCUACCUGUCCUCAACUCCUUCACACACUCAUAGCUACACCCAACCACCAGUCGGCCCCUCUGUUCCCACUAGUGGCUUGCCCAUUUCAGGGGGUCUUCCCCCUUUCCCCCCACCAGGUGCCGUACACAAGGAGGGUGAAACCGAGGCAGAAAGACUGCAUCGGCAGCAGGAGCAGCUUCUGCAGAUGGAGAGGGAGCGCGUGGAGCUCGAGAAACUCCGGCAACUGCGCCUGCAGGAGGAGCUAGAAAGAGAAAGGAUAGAGCUGAAGCUGCACAGGGAUAAAGAGCAGAUGAUUGUGCAGAGAGAGUUACAUGAGCUGCAAAACAUCAAGGAUCAGAACAAGCAGUUGAAAAACUUUCAAGUUAACUCAGUUAAACAGGUCCUACAGCAGCAGCAGCUUGAACGUGAGAAGCAACUUGUUCUCCAGAGGGAGCAGUUAGCGCAGCAGAAGUCGCAGCUGGACCAGAUCCAGUCUCUACAGCAUCAGCUCCAGCAGCAGCUAGUGGAGCAGAAGAGACAGAAAACGGCUGCAGCUCAGAACAUACAGCUUGACGCAAAUGGACAGCCCCUGCCCCCUUACGUCGACUCUCAACUUGGCUUCCGCUCUCUGCCCAACUCCUCAUCAGAGAUGUGUCUGAGGAGCCAGCAGGAGCACGUGGAGACCAGGAGCAACAUGAGGAAACACAGCUCCAUGACCAGACUGAGCCGGGACAGCUUAGAUGGAGACGGCGUGGUGUUUUACGGUUCUCCCCGCAGGAUCGUCGACAGCUCUGUGCAGACAGAUGAUGAAGACGGAGAGGAGAGGUACAUGAUGCGUCAUCGUACCAGGAGGCGUGGUCGUAGUGUUGACUGCUCAGUUCAGACAGAUGACGACGAGGACAAGGCUGAGACUGAACAUCCAGUCCGGCGAAGACGUUCCCGUUUCUCCCGGCACGCUGAGUCCAGUGCAACUGGCAGCAGCACUGCUGCUACAUCCACCACGGCCUCUGACAGCAAGACCGAAACUCCCAAGAUGGUAUCCUCUAGUAUCGCCAUCCAGACCAUCAGGGAAAUGUCUUGCCAGACGGAAGUGGAGCACUUAGGAAGAGUCUCCCCAGCGAUCCACGUGACAGUACCAGACCCAAAUAAAGUAGAAAUUGUGCACUACAUUUCCGGACCUGAGCGGACCCAAAAAGGACAGUCUCUAGCAUGCCAGACCGACACAGAAGCACAGUCACAAGGUGUUGUAGCUCCCCAGCUCAGUGUACCAACCACGGUCAGUCCAUAUUCGUCCUCUACCAGUACUGGAACGCAACAAUCCGGUUCUUCCGACCUUCUGAACCAGCAACGCCAGCAGCAGCACAUCGCAGCAAACGCAGCCAAGUUUGAGCGCCGCCGCCCCGAUCCGCUCGACAUCAACUACCAGCCUCACAACCACCUCCACAACGAGUCCCUCUCCACCAUCAUCCGGCAGCAUCAGACAGCCCCCAAAUCCCCACAGGUCCUCUACUCUCCUGUCUCCCCGGUGUCCCCUCACCGCCUACUAGAGAAUUCUCUGUCCAGUGAGAGGCUGAACAAAGCCCAUGUCACACCUCAGCAGAAGUCCUACACAGCAGAGUCUCCCCAGAGACACCCUUCCGUUCCCCGGCCAAUUAAGAGCACCCAGAGGUCCAUGUCAGACCCCAAGUCCCUCAGUCCCACCACAGAUGAGCACACCAGGGCUAGGCUGUCCCUCUACCAACAACAAGUGCUCCAGAGCCAGCUGGCAGCUCUACAGCAAAGCUCACUGCUCCGCAAGGUCAAGCGAACCCUGCCCAGCCCUCCUCCAGACGAGAAUACCACAUCAGCACAUCUGCCUAUGAUGGCACCUUCCCUUCAACAAGUUUACCUGCCCUCCGUGCCCAGCCUCAAGCCCAGCUCGAGGUCUGGCUUGGCUGCCAAAGCCAGCCUCCUCAAAGACCUCACCCACGAACUGAAGGCCGUGGAGCAAGAGUCAACCAAGCUGAGAAAGCAGCAGGCUGAACUGGAGGAGGAAGAAAAAGAAAUUGAUGCUAAACUGAGAUACCUAGAGCUAGGGAUCCACCAGAGGAAAGAGACACUGGUCAAGGAGAGGGAAAGGAGGGAUAUUGCCUACCUGAGGUGUAUGGGGGACACUAGGGACUACAUGUCUGACAGUGAGUUGAAUAAUCUACGUUUAGCAGCUGCAGCUGCAUCACAUGAGACCAAUGGGCUACUGUCAACAAGGCCAAGCACUGCCCCUUUGAGUCAUUUUGCCAGCGACCUAAACACAGCAGCCCAGUACCCACCCUCCUCAUCCUUCAUCUCAUGUCAGUACCCCCAAAGCCAACAAGCAGCACCAAUGCCGCAAUCCAAUGUGCCGUACCAGGCUUCAACAUUCAAUCAACCUCCCUAUCCCUCAGUGUCCCAGUCCCAGGCAGUGCCACAGCCCACGCCCCUCCAAAGCCAUGUCCCACCACUUGGACCUUCUUACCCGUCUCAAACAUCCUACCCCUCCCACACCUAUCCCCAAACUGGCCCCCCCUACCCGCAGACAGACAUUGGUUUACCAGCUGCACCUCAGCCUCAGCCUCAGCCUCAACCAGUGCAUACAGGUUUUGGACCCGCACCACCUGGUCAGCCCCCAUACCCCACCCACAGCUCACCCUAUCCCAGCGCUGUGUCCUCCUACCCCGGCCAGACUACCCCAUACCCUGGGCAGCCCCAAGCUGAUAUCCUGACGGUCCACCAGGGACGACCAAGACAGACUUCUCUGGCCGAUCUGGAGCACAAGAUGCCCACCAACUACGAGACGAUCAGCAACCCCACAGUUGUGGUCACCACCACUGCCCAGGACUGUAACUAUUCCAGUGCAGCCCCCUCUUAUGGUCAGUACACUGGAAUGACAACAAUGGCCAGCUCCUAUGGACCAUAUGGGUCAGCACCAGUGUCCAGCAGCUACGGUGGGUACUCUACCAUGCCACCCAGCACUUAUGGCCAGUAUACUUCAUCUUCAGCUAAUUCAUAUGGCCAGUACACCACAACCACUGCUAAUACUUAUGGCUAUACCACUACCACAGCCAGCUCGUAUGGACAGUACACUUCUACAGUCUCCAAUGUCUAUGGGCACUCUGUAGACAGUCCCUCCAUAUACAGUUCUUCAGAUGGGAUGUAUGGGGCUCCUGGGUUAGAGCAGAACAUUCCAAGAAACUACAUGAUGAUUGACGACGUAAGCGAGCUUACGGCAAAAGACGGGCUGGGCACGACGACAGGGGACAUGAUGCAUCAUGGCGGCAGUGGGCGUUACCCAGGCGACAUCCACGGCCACAUCACCACGGUUGGCAGUUCUACACGUGGGGGAACUGGCAACUCCUACGGCAGGGCACCUGAAGAGGAAGCAGCGAUGCAGGAAGAGCUGUACGACCACCACGGCAGGGGUAAGAGCAGCUACAGGCACGGACCUCUAGGGGGCAGCAGCAGCAGCGUGAGCUCUAGCAUGGGUGGGGGAUCCUCCUAUCACUCUGACUACGACUACAAACACGGCAGCAUCCGCUCCGGGGUACAGAAACCUAUGUCAUCCACCAGAAGUCUUCUGGCUCCUGCUGUCAUGUCCUCCAAGCGCAACAAGCACAGGAAACUGGGGAGUAUGGAGCAAAAAAUCUCCAAGUUUUCCCCCAUUGAGGAGGCUCGGGAUGUAGAGGCAGACCUGGCCUCCUAUUCCUCAACAACAGGUGGGGCUUACCCUUCCUCUCACAUUCGAGGGCGCCAGCUGAUCGAGGAUUACGGCUUUAAAAGCAAUACCUACGAGGGCGGCAGUGGCAGCACUCAUGGUAGUCGACACUAUGGUUCAACGGUGGAGGAGGACGAUCGGAUUUACUACAACUCCACCGGCCGCUCCCGUUCCACCGGCUACGGCAUGGACAAGAUCUCAGCCAGAGACUACUCUGGGUAUCGCAGCCGAUCCUAUGAGAGGGACGACCGCUCCUACCGAUCUGGCUACAGCCGAGGGCGCAAUCCAACCCGGCAGUACUCUGAAGAGGAGAGCCCACUUAGCCCCUUGAGGAGGUUCAUGGGUUCGGGGCGAUCAUCAAGCUUAGGUCCCGACCCGUACGACAGCCGUAGCGGUAGAUAUCAUUACUAUUAUGGCCAGUAUGGUUCCAGCCACUCGUUGCCAGAUGUACAAGACCACAUACAAGACCUUCCCAGGACACAUGUCUACAAAUCGGAUGAUACAUACAUUAUUGACGAUUAUCAUUGUGCUGUGUCAGACAGUGAAGCCUACCAUCUGGGCCAAGAAGAAACCGACUGGUUUGAGAAGCCCCGCUCCAGUUCUCGACACUACGGCAGCAGCCACUCAUCUGGAAGGAGCCGGCAUGGUGUGAAACAUACCUACCAUGAUUAUGACGAGCCUCCUGAGGAGGACCUGUGGCCCCAGGAUGAGUACGGCCACGGAGGGCGGCACUCUACAUCCCGCGACCACAGGCACCAAAGCAGCUCUGGCCGUCACUCAUCCGCAUCACGUCAUUCAGAUGAGCAGAGGUCCUCGAGGUCCGCCAAGGGGCACCCCAAAGACCCAUCGAUGCGCCAAGACCCUUCAGCGCGAUCCUCAUCUACAGGGAGGCGUGGUGAGUCUAGGUCUGGAGGGUACCACACUUCGGACUACUCCCGGGAUCCGUCUGGGCACCAUCACGGACAGCGCUCCUCCAGACAGGGGGACCCACACCGUUCCUCGCGUAGCAAGUCACAGCAGCAAGUGGACAUGCAAGGCCAACCACCUGGCUCCUCCAGGUCCGGCAGCUCCGGCCGGGCUCAGGGCCCCGCUGGAGGGCCUACAGGAUCGGGGCGACAGAGUGGUCCAGGUUCCCAGACCGACGGAGCGCAAGGACAGAGGACCCAGCUCCAACAACAAGCCCAGACGUCAGCGGCCAGGUCAGGGCAGCCUGGUGCCGCAAUGACCACCGGCCCUCAGCAGCAGCCCUCAGCCCAGGGACAGGGCAUGGGCAUGGGGCAAGGCCAAGCCAAGCCAGGACAGAUGGGUCCAGCGGGUGGACCCAUGGGUCAGGCCAGGCAGACAGGUCCUGCAGGAACCACUCCAGCCAACAUGGCUAAAAUGGACAUGCCUCCAGUGACGGCUAUUGGAGCAAAGGCCGCGCCGGUCAUGGCCACCAAAGCUGCCCAGCCCCCACUCACAGGCAUAGGCUCCAAGGCAGCUCCUCGACCAGGAGGCAUUGGCAGCGCGGCAGCAGGACAGCCCGGCAUGGAGGGAGACAGCAUGUUGUCCAAGCUCAUCCCUGGAAAUGCCGCUGAGCAGGCGGGCAAACUAGGAGACGCUAUAAGCGGUUUUGGCAAGAAGUUCACCUCCUUAUUCUGAAGUGCUACAAUUGAGGACGAUGUAAAUGUUAAAUGACCAAAUCACGAGGCCCCGUACCAGAAAAACCUGUGAAGUUCCCCUCCAGCUUUUGUUUUACUAACACAGAGAGAGAAGAGAGCGAGCGAGCGAGAGAGUAACAGAGCGGAGAGAUGAGCAAACUGCCAACCAGAACUGGAGUCCUCUGGGUUCUUCAUAUCACAAUCAUGUCCAGCCGAACAUCCAUCUUAAGAAGCACUCUCCUCCAUCCAGCGGCCAAAGAGUUUGUCUCCACCGGACUACUAACACAUCUACGGCCAACAAACCAACAAAAGAGCUACUGGAGGCUAAAAAAACGACAACAAAUGUUGUUGCUUGGCUGCUCUUCCUCCACGCCAGUAGAGAGAGCUCUGCUGCCACCAGCGGAGAACCACCCAGACGAGCAGAGUCAAAGGAAGAAGUGUGGCUCUGGAGUUAAAAGUGCAGCAUUAAUGGGGAAAAAUGAAAGGGUGGAGCAAUUCUACUCCUAUAUGCUGACGACGUCAUUGUUUAUAUAUGACGGCUGCUUUACCACAGGAGGCACGGUGGCAUGCUAGGAUCCUUCAUUUCACAGUCCUGUGCUCAAGGUUGAAAUAACUCUCUCUCUCUCUCUCUCCUCUUUUCUAUCUUUUCUCAAAGUAGAAAAGAAAGUGUGCAAAAUGGAAAACUUGCUGGGUUACUGCAGGUUUUUCUGGUACUAAAGACCUCGUUUCAUCACCCGCUGUGAUGUUAAUGGAAAUGUCACGUUGAAUGACUACGACAUCGUAACGCGUCUCUUUCCACGGCUUGUUUAUAUCUACAUUCCAGAUUGGAACUGUUGAAACCUUUCGCUCACUCGGUUCCUCACCUCUCUGCGUUUCUUGAAUGCCGAUUUUCUUUUUUUUCAAUCCUCACCAGACAAUCCUCAACUUGCCAUGACUUUAAAGAAGUACAUAGUGAAUAAAAAAAAAAAUGAAUAGGAAUUUGGAAUGCAUGGAACUUUAUAUCCAAGACCUUACACUGUUCAUCAUUACUUAACAGAGGCCACACUGGCAAACACUUCGCAGCUCGACGGCGUAAACAGUGACGAGGAAGAGAGAUUCCCGGAGCAACAAACACAAAAUGAGCCACGGGAAUAAGAGGAGCCUUUUGGGUUUUUUUUAUAAGGGGAAAAAAACAGUAUGUGGUCAAGUGUUUUUUUCAGCCAUUGCAAAGCCAUUAGGAGAACAGUUACCUGCAGGGCUUCUGGUGAUGGAGUUUCUCCAACUGCUCCACAACAUUCAGCUCGCAGAUGUUUCCCAAAGGGUUGUUGGUGGUUAUCAUUGUGCUUUCUUUUUUUCAAAUGUUGUUUUGUUAAUUGCCUGGUUUUUAUGUUGCAGGUUACCAAUAUCGCCUUAAUCAUUCUUAAAUAUUGUUAUUUUGAAGUCCUACUUGCAUUUUUUUAUUACACCCUGUAACACAUAUAUUUAUUUUAGGUAGUGAUACCAACAGAACACUGGCCACAGUGAGAUUAAUUUAUAUUUUUUAAAUCAACUUUGUUUUUGAUAAUUGUUUGUGAUAUUUAUUUAUCUAUGUUGACUUCAUCACACCCCCUGUCAAUUUUCUGACUUGUAUUUAUUAUCAAUACUUUUAAAAAAAGCAAUAGAGAAAGUGGUAAGAAAGUAGAAAGCACAAUCUCGUGUCAUCUUAAAAGUUUUGUGGAACAGAAGCGCGUCGCCUCCGUCUGUCUUACGACCACCGACGUACCACUCAAGUCUGACUUAAAUGUACCAACAGACCUACUUAAGCAUCGUAACACUGCUGGACCAAUACGUUGGGGAGCAGGUGCUGACCCAUGAACGACAGUUUGGUACCACCCGGAUCUUCUCCUUCUCCACCCUACAGUGAGACGUCAGGCCUUCCAUCGCGUCGGGGGCGUUUGGAGUGAUGCGCUGCUCGUGGCGGCCAACCGGAGUCUGAUCUGAAAGCACUGCAGGGCAGCAGAGAGGCACUGAAACGCAGACCAGUCACUCGCCGCGUCGGAACCGGACCAGUCGGAACCGGACCAGUCGGAACCGGACCUGCCGUCGCCGUCGCCCGUGUGGGCUUCGGCUUUCGAUGUGACCCUUCUGACCCCCCCACCCGAGAUCAAUGUUCACUGGUACGCACAUCAGUGUGUGUCUUCACUCUGACAGACGUGCACAGCUCACGUGAAAGCACACUAGAAAAUGGUGACAAAGAAAAAGAAAGGGGGAAAAAAAACAAGAACAAAGUCCGCACUAACGUGACUGAAGAACCCAAAGGUAACACACUUGUUGUUGUGUCACAAAGUCACUCGCCUUUUUUAACUCUUCAUUUUCUAUCGUGGUGGCGUCCAGACCUGUAAGCCAACUCGCUACAGACCUUCUCCCUCCUCAAACUGUCGGUUGUCAUGGAAACUUCUCAGGUCAGUGUUCUCCCUGCUGUCGUUCCUGCAGUGCAUUGUGGGAUCUGCGGUACUCAAAACCUACUCUGUCGGGCCAAACAUUGCGAGGCCUUCAGCAAAACCCAACGAACCAACCAACUUCUGCUGUAUAUUGUCUGUGUGAACGCUCGCUGGGAACCUUUGCAUGCUGCCCGGCGCAGAAAACCUCAAAGUCACCUCUAUAUUGUUCCGUUCCUGUAUGUGUGUGGGGGUCCGUAUGCGUGCGUUUAACGACCAUCAUCCAAGUGGAAAAGAAAAUAUGACACGAGUUCAAACGCAACAAAUGUGGUGGACAGAAGAGGCGACCUCUCAUCUCAAGUCCUUCUAUGCAAUGAAUCGGAUUUGGGGGAAGAAAAAAAAAAAAAAAAAGACAGGAGGAGGAGAAGGGAUUCGAAUACACAAGUGGGAAAAGUCACUCAUUCAUCUAUCACACCUGGUUCAUAGUGCGCUUCUUGAUAUAACUAAUGUCAAGAUUUAAAGAGAGAACUGGAUAUAAAGGAAACAGAAAUGUGAAUGAGGAAAAGCAAACAUCCCAUAAAAGAUGCUUUCCGGGGACAAUUAUCUAUUUCCCAGAAGUAACUAGGAAAUAAAAUCCAUUUUAAAUGGAUAGUUGUGCAGAAAAGAAAAUAUAAUAAAAUGAAAAGUUGUCCAGAGAUUUAAUAUAAAGAAAACUAAAAGAUUUCUAUGACUAAAUAUGAUAUAUAUAUAAAGAUUUAGAAACAUAACAAUAAACUUAGAAUAUAUUCCCUAAUAUGGUUUGUGUCUCAUCAGGGUUGAAGAAGAAAUACUUCUUUAUUUUAUUUUAGCGAUUUAGUUUGAUGGCAAAAAAGUCCUGGUUGAUCUGACUAAAAAUACUGCUGGAGCCAACGAAUGGCUAUUGACUAUUCAAGGCAUUCCAAAAUUGAAGUGUGUGUGUGUGUGUGUGUGUGUGCGUGUGUGCAAAAAUGUGUUUAAAGGUGCACUGCCAAAACACACGUAGAUUUAAUUUAAAAGCUAAAUACACUGUGGAACAUUAAUUUCUGGGGAGAAAGUAAUCUGCAUAUUAUUGUGUAUUUGUAUUUAUUUGAGUUGCAGCAUGAUAUUAAACAGAUUAUUAUAUAGAAUUUAUUUAUGAAAUUAGAGGAUUGAAAACAUCCCUCAACUCGCAGCUCCUUUACAAAUACACUUUACUGCAUUUCACUGGAACUGUAAAAUAAGUCGGUAUCUAUUUUUUGUGAAACAUUUAUGAGAUGAUUUAUGAUUUUUAUGUCAGAAUUUAUUUUCUCAUGCGGGAUAGAGAGCUGGAUGUGAGUCGUAGUUUCUUUUUCAGCCUCGAGAGAGAUUUUAAGGUUGUGAUUAUUCCCAGGUACACUGCCACCAGAUCGGUGACUUCUCCGUGAGAGCUUAAAAUUAGUGUCAAAGUAGAACAAAUAAUGACUUUAAAGUUACCCAAAUUAAUACCAACUUCCUCUAUUGUGUGUCGUAUGUUCUGGAAGUUUGUAAUAAAAUAUAAUGUUCAAUAAAAUGUUCCUCAAUCACUUUUGCCUCAGGAAAGAACACACUAAACGCAGAUGUUCAUAGAUAGUCAGAAAAGAAUAUGUGUGUUUACGCAGGCGCAAUGAAUCCGAUAUUUUUUCUCACACCUUAAGACACGGACGUGAUCGUACCGCUGCUGUCAACUAGAGGGGUCGGAAACAUUUGACGGAACGCAGCCAUGAAGCCAUGUGUGUUGAAAUGUGUCCAAAAAAAAAACCAGUUUCAGCUCCUGUGUGAAUACAACCACUGAAGGUGACUUAAAUAUGCAUAGCAGCAAGGGCUUUUAUACUACUAUACUGGUCUCUGAAGAAAGCCAUCCUUUUACUGCCCUCUAGCCAGUCGUGGUCUCUGUCUAUACUCUGCAUGGUGUCUGUCUAAAUCCAGGAGCGCAAGCUCAGACCACAGCAAUCACCAGUGGGCAAAAAUCACCGCGCCGCAGCCCCGGUUUCCAGAAGUGGUUGAAGCACAAAACGUAGAUGAUAAUAAAAGAUUACACUUCAAAAUGCAAAUACAAAUUGGAAUUGAGAUCUUCUCUGGAAGAGCGUCUUUAAGGCCCCGUCUAGUUUUGUUGAGUGCAAAAGAAUUUGGGGAGUUUGCGUUUAAAAGGCUCACAUUUCCAGACAUGGAGCAAAGAGAAGUUUCUUCCAUCAGAUUUGUGUUUAAAAGAAGUAUAAUCUCCAAAAAUCUUGAUUUGCCUUUCAAUCCGACGUCAAGAGUCUCAGCAAUAAGGUCGCAUUUACACCUUUUUUUCACCCUCUGUGGCACCGUUCUGGUAUCUGCAUUAGGCGUUUCUUUCUCACUUCACAGCCACGGGACGGAGAAAUGACAAACUUUUAGCGCCACGAAGAGUUCAAAAGAGUCAAGUCGGUUUUUAAAUGCAGCUUAUGAUGCUUUUGGGAAACCCGGACUGCGUGCGUUUGUGUGUUAACCAAAAAAGUAGCAGAAACUGAUUGUACGGUACGGAGUGUAGUAACUGUCACCACUGCUCUUGCUGUCAGUCGAUGUAAAGAAAGAUUAUAAAAUACACAAAAAUAUUAUAUUAUUAACAUAUGAAGAAGUAAAUGUUUCACAGGUGAGAGGUUGUGAAGAAAAACAGCAAUUAUGUGGAAAGAAACAUGAAAAAAUCCAUCCUUCAUUGUAAAACCAUCAGGGAGCGUUUACUCAUCUUUCACCUGCAAUGAAUCUGUAAAAAUACAAGUGCAUGACCUGGGCGGGCGGGCAGCCCCCCCCCUUCCUCUACCAUCCCUUGACCUUUCAGACCUCCUCAACCUUUGACCUCCCACCAGUGUAAAUACCAGAUGAGAACCAGAGUCUGCUUUGAACAAACAACAUGUAAACGAAGAACAUGUUCUAUACAACAUGUACAUCUGAAACAUGCUAACACACACACACACACACACACACACACACACAGGCAUGAGAGAGGCCUUUGCACACUACACAGUGACACAAGCUGGCGCGUAUGCAAGCCUGAACCUCCCUGCCAGAAACAUGAAAAAACAACAAAAAAACACAUAACAAGCAAAGAGCAGCUGCUGAUGUGAAUAAUAAAUGGAAAAAAAUGUGCGGACUGUUUAAGACUCAUGAAAAAAAAUAGUAUUCGGAUAUACAAAAAAAAAAAAAAAAGAUAAAAACAUAUUGGUCUGUGCAGAGUUUCUAUACAUGUUGUGUUUGUAAAAUGGAAAUUUACAUCAAAGAAAGGGGGAGGACAGCGUUCUUGCUUCCAUUUCAUUUUUGGGGCGAUGAAGAGGGUGAGAUGGCAAAUUGGACAAUGGAGAUGUGAAGAAAAGAAAUAUAAUAAAAUAACCCAACUGAAUGAAAAAAAGAGGGUGAAAAUAAAAUAGAGAAUAAGGUCAAGAGCCUAAAAAUGAUUACAAAGUGUUCCAUUCACUGUUGUAAGUGCAAUGAGCUAAACUUCCUGUUCCCCCCCCCCCCCCAUUGUAAAACCUUGUGUAUGUUUCCGUGUUUUCCUCCUAUAAAUGGGUGUAGUAGACCUGGUGCAUCAUGCCAUGUAAUGUGAUGAAUGACAAAUUAUGACCUUACAAUACAUUUCAAUCAGGAAAAUAAAGAAAAGACAAAUAAAGAAAAAAAAAAC